rnacentral:lncRNA from 1 species
CAAAAUUGUAAAAAUCGAACCAAUCAAUCCAAAACUUCUUCAACGCUAGCAAUGGAGUAUCCUAUGAUGUUGAACUCGAAUUUGUACCUCAUCAGAUCAUACACCACCGUCCACAGGAAUAGUAAUGAAUAUAUCGAGAGAACUGUCGGCAGUAACCAAGAAUUUCACCGGAGAAAUGAACUCUCCCACUUACCUCUUCUUUAUUUUUCAUCUCUAUGUUUUCUAGCUCUCCAAAUCCAAUUGAAAAUAAGUAAAGAAGUCUUGUAAUUAUAGAAUCAAAACAAUUUGGAUUCAAAUCCAAGUAUUGUACUAUGAUUAAGAGCGAAUAUGACAUUAUUAGAAAAUGAGAAUUAACCACAAGACUAUUGAAUUUAGUCCAUGGUCCAAAAUACUCUUAAACUAAUAAAAUCCCCUUCGAUCUAUCUAUCACAAUUAAUUUAUGACAUGUGGAUGGAAUGAUCCACCUCACACCUUAUGACACGAGUGUACACUCCAUCUAGAAGACACCUCUCUCUCUC